CAUCCUACGGGGGGCAGCAGUGGGGAAUAUUGCACAAUGGGAGGAACCCUGAUGCAGCGACGCCGCGUGAGUGAAGAAGUAUUUCGGGAUGUAAAGCUCUAUCAGCAGGGAAGAAGAUGACGGUACCUGACUAAGAAGCCCCGGCUAACUACGUGCCAGCAGCCGCGGUAAUACGUAGGGGGCAAGCGUUAUCCGGAUUUACUGGGUGUAAAGGGAGCGUAGACGGCAGGGCAAGUCUGGAGUGAAAGCCCUGGGCCCAA
rnacentral:rRNA from 1 species